AUGGGCAACCUAUUAACUUUUUCAGUUAACAAGCCCAUACCUGAGACCUCAUCGAGAUGCCUGACCGAGUGCACCACCGCCGCUCACAACUUCGAGGUGAUUAAGUACUCGCUGCUGGAGCGCAUGGGUGCCCGUAAGUUCGUUAGCUCGAGCACUUUCAGAGUCAGCGGCUACGAGUGGAAAAUCAGUAUCUAUCCUGAUGGGAUCGGGGAGGAAGACAAAGCUGCCUACAUGUCCGUCUUCUUGUGUUUCUGCAGUGGUGCGACAAUGGAUGUGAAGGUCAAGUUCACUUUGAGUUUACUGGAGAAAGAUGGGAAAAUUAGCAAUCUAAAUAGUAAAACAACAACAGCUAAAUUUAAGCCUGUAGUAGGUGAUAGUUGGGGCUGGGCCAAGUUUAUUGACAAGUCCAAGCUCAAGGAACUGUUGGCCCAUGACUGCUUCACAAUCAGGUGUGUUUUGACCGUCAUAAAAGACCAUCACACGGAAGAUGUAAGCACAGUCCUAGUCCCAGUCCCCCAGUCAGACCUGCACGCGCACUUUGCAAACAUGUUGAAGGAUGGACAAGGCAUGGAUGUGACAUUCAGUGUUGGCGGCCAACUCUUCAGUGCACAUAGGUACGUGUUAGCAGCACGAUCAUCAGUCUUCAAGGCUGAGCUCUUUGGUCAAAUGAAGGAAACCACCAUGGAAUGUAUCAAGAUCGAGGACAUGGAGCCUGCCACCUUCGAGGCACUUCUCCACUUCAUAUACACAGAUAACCUGCCAAGCAAUUGUCAUGUUGAUCAAAAUGUAGCAUUGCAGCACUUGUUGGUCGCCGCGGAUCGGUAUGGACUGGACAGGCUAAACGCUAUUUGUGAAGAGAAGCUAUGCCAGAAAAUUGAUGUGCAGACAGUUGCAACCACCCUAGCUUUAGCGGAGCAGCACCACACCGUGCAACUCAAGAAUGCUUGCCUUCAGUACCUGUCUUUGCAGGAUGUGCUUCAAGCAGUCAAGAAGACCGACGGGUUCAAGCACCUCACUACAAGCUGUCCAUCGAUUAUGAUGGAGAUAUUAGACAAGGUCGCCCCAUCGUCAGAUGUAUGA
rnacentral:rRNA from 1 species